rnacentral:rRNA from 1 species
AGUGAACGCUGGCGGCGUGCCUAAUACAUGCAAGUCGAACGGAGUGGCGCACGGGUGAGUAAUGUAUAGCUAAUCUGCCCUACACUAGAGGACAACAGUUGGAAACGACUGCUAAUACUCUAUAGUGUAGGAUGAGGCUAUAUUGUAUCAGCUAGUUGGUGAGGUAAUGGCUCACAAAGGCUAUGACGCAUAACUGGUCUGAGAGGAUGAACAGUAACAAUGGAACGGAGACACGGUCCGGACUCCUACGGGAGGUAGCAGUAGGGAAUAUUGAGCAAUGGGGGAAACCCUGAAGGAACAACGCCGCGUGGAGGAUUACACUUUUCGGAGCGUAAACUCAUUUUGUUAGGGAAGAGUUACCUAACGAAUAAGCACCGGCUAACCCCGAGCCAGCAGCCGCGGUAAUAC